rnacentral:lncRNA from 1 species
UAGCAUAUGCUCCAUAGGUGUUAUCAAAGCAAAUAGGGGCUCUUGGGCACAAAACAUUAUGGCAUGGGUUAUGGAGAUGCUUCUGAAUCAUGGAAACAUGGAAGACAUUGUACAAGGUAGCAUACCUGGGGGUCAAAGUGAGGCAGUAUGCCAAGGCACCUACACCUUUUAAAAUCUUUAGGGGUCCAACAAAACGAGGACUGAGUCUGAUUACUUACCAAUCACGCCCUCCUGCCUUGUAUGGGAAAACCUUGAGGUAAACGUUGUCAUUAACUACAAACUCUAACGGCCAUCUUCGAUUGUUUGCAUAGCUCUUCUGCUGACUCAUAGCUGCAAGAAGGUGUCUCC